UUUCUCCCUUUCCCUCUCCUUUCUCUCUCUGGUGAUUGCACUGUCCUAUAGCAAACAAAAAGCCUCUGCAAAGGGAGAGAAGGUCCCGAAGGCAAAAAGGUAGAAGCUGACACUAGCAAGGAUGAGAAAAGCCUGCAGAAAAUGGAGACCCAAACAGACCAGGAGGAACGGGGCGGGCUGCACGUGUGCCAGCUCUGGGCUUCUGCUGACAGCAGUCCGGAGUUUCCUUUUACUUACGGAGCUUUUUGCUAUAGGGCACGUGCACUAGCCAGAGUCAGAGAGUGACAAAUCAGCCCCGGGGGGCUGGCCAUGCUGCAAUCCCCUCUCCUUUACACAUACACAUGCCCAGCGUUGUUUCAAGCCACCAGGUAUGGGAUUCAAACCACAGUUGGACAUGUGGAGCCCAGCAUCUUUGCUGACCCUGAAGUUUUAUAAAAAUGCAGGAUCUUGUUGAAUUUUUUUUUUAAAGCCUGUUGCACUUCGGGGUAGAUCUCUUCCCCUCCUAGUUGAGAGCCUUCCUCCUCGCUCCCAGGGCAGGACUCCCUGACUCACACAGCCAUCUUGGCAUGAGUGCCUGUGCUGUGGAAAAAUUGCUUUUUUGAGAUUGGAAGAGCG